GACGAACGCUGGCGGCAUGCCUAACACAUGCAAGUCGAACGGAAAGUAUUUCGGUAAUCGUAGUGGCGAACGGGCGAGUAACGGGGGGGCAAGCGGGCCUCCAGAUGGGGACAACAUCCCGAAAGGGGUGCUAAUACCGAAUGUGACAGCAAUAUCGCAUGAGGAUGGUGGGGAAGAUGGAAUCUAUUUAUAAGCUAUCGCUAGAGGAGGGGCCUGCGUCUGAUUAGGGUGUUGGGGGGGUAACGGCCUACCAAGGGGAUGAUCAGUGGCCGGGCGGAGGGGAUGGACGGCCGCCUUGGGACUGUGACCCGCCCCAGAGUGCCUCGGGAGGCAGCAGUGGUGCAUCUUCCGGCAGGGGCGAAAGCCUGACGGAGCAAGGCCGCGUGCGUGAUGAAGGAAUUCGUGCUGUAAAUCUCUGUUUUUUAUGUCGAAUGUGCAGAUUGUUAAGACUGAUCUGGAAUGACGGUAGUAAACGAAUAAGCCACGGCUAACUACGUG
rnacentral:rRNA from 1 species